GAAAAGAAUGAAGCUAAAUGGAAAGCCAACCCUGGCUCCCGAGGAGGGGGGGCCUAUAUCCUCUAUCACAAGGAUUCCGGCUUUGAGAGUCACUUCCCGAAAUGCAAAAUGAAAGAAUUUAAAACAAGAAUCAGCCAAAAGAUUCCUGGCCAAGAAACUGCUUUGGCAGCAUCUUGAUUUCUUGAGUCAUUUUUUAUAUUUUUCCCUUGAAGUUGUGUCCUGGCAAAUCUGAUUGAAUCAAUAUGUCUUUUAUGGCCAGACUGUUCUCUGGCUUCAUCUAUCAUCUGUUCUAGAAAAGCCAUUAAUUCAGUAGAAAGAAGUUGUGGGAGGUUUUUACUGCAGAGAAUGAAGGUUUUUUUCAACACAAAAUACUGAUCCAACUGGAAAA
rnacentral:lncRNA from 1 species